AACAGGCUAAUUUGCGCAAGAGUGUACAAAAUGAGUGCGCGGUUUGGCACCUCGAUGUCGGCUUAACUUAUCCUCAUGGAUGCAGGAACUAUGUAGGGUGCGACUGUUCGUCGAUUAAAAAGUUACAUGAGCUGGGUAAAGUAUUUAGCCCAGAAAUUAAUUGGCCUGC
rnacentral:ncRNA from 1 species